AUUUUAUCUUUCUCAGAAUUUCCCUUAGGAUGAAACGGCAAGCUACUUGAAAGGGUUCUUUGUUGUUGUUAUUUUUUUUGUUUGUUUUUGGCAGAAGGAUAAUGCCUACCUCCCUUGUUGGGCGUGAGAAUAACUAAUAUGGCCCACCACGAGUUCUUUUAAAAUUGAGUAAUGGCAGGCAGGUGUGACUGUGUGUGUGUGUGCCUGUGUGCAGUAUCUAACCAAACACCCAAGCAUCUAGAAAUCUGUUUUCUUAGACGUUGUACAGAUUGUGGUGUAACUGAUUAAAGAUUGUUAUGGCUAAUAAGCCAUAGAAUGGCUGUGUCUCGUUAUUGAACUGUCCAGUGAUCCACAAGUUCACAAUUAUGUCUACUUUUAUAGUCAAGAGAAACAGAUUGUGGUUAUGAAUUUGCCACACCAGAUUCCAUUCUAAAUAUCAUAUGCAAUGUGAUUUUUUUUUUUAUAGAAAAUUCCCUGAAGUGAAAUGAGUACUUAUUUCUCUUUUUUUCCCCCAACAGAGCAAGACAAACCCAGAGAGAUGAAGUGACUGACCCAAGGUUACACAGAAUGGAAUCUAUAUCUUCUGAUUUCCCUACUGUUUUAGGAUAUUGGACGCCUUCUUCUGGCCUCGGGAGGAACCAGGCACAGGCACACCCACACUCCCAUGUUCUGAGGAGCAGCCCUUGAAGCUACUGAGAUAAUGGAACAGUGGAGUAGAUGGUCCAUUAUAACUCAUCUGUGACUCUUCUCAAAUUCAAGUGACCACAGGUGGAGAUAUGAUCUGGUAACACCAGGAUUCAGAAUGUGACUGUGGAGCUACAUUGCUUAACCUUGGGGCGGAGAAAUGUUAAGAGUGCCUGCUUUUCUUCGAGAGGACCAGAGUUCAAUUCCCAGCUUCCAUGCCUGGCAGCUUCACGGAAUUUAACACUUUCUUCUUGACCUCCUCAAGCACCCCCACACAUACGGCUUAUAAACACACAGAAAAAAAGUAAAAGAAAUCUUAAAGACA